GGUGUGCAAAAUGAAUUUGUCUGGAAAAGGCCAGAAAUCCUCCCCUCAACCCCAGUCUGGGCUAGAGAGCUGGGAAACCUGGUAGCCAGAGACCUGGCCGUGCAGAGCAGGGCAGCCCCUCCACCAGCACCCUGGGCUUUUCAGGGCCCUUCUCUUGGAAGCCUUCCUGCUCACUUCCGCAGUUCUUCUUGAAAGGGACACACCUUCCUGGCCUGGCCUUGCUCUGCCUUGUGGUUCUGGGCCUCUGCUUGCUGCCAGCAGCCUCAGCAGGAAGCCUGCCACCAAGUUGUAGGUGCUACUGUGACACUAACCUGACUUCCCUGGGCAGAUGACCUCACCAAUGUGUCCUGGAAACCCACCUCUCCAAAGACCUGCCCCACCAGGGAAAGAUAGAAAUAGGCUGGGAGUAUGGAUUGACUUUCCAAUGCCCAUGUUCAGUGGAGAAGCAAUUACAGAAGCCAUAUCUCCCGCCUUCUGCACCCCAUAAUGAUCCUGGGUCCAUGCUCUCAGAGGGAUAAAGAACAGGAAAGCUUCCAAUGGAGAGGAUGGGAUAUGGAACUCUGGUGUUGGUAAUUGUGUGGAAUUGUACCUCUCUUAUCCUAUAGUCUUGUCGAUCAUUAUUAAAUCAAUAAAAAUAAUAAA